rnacentral:rRNA from 1 species
UGCAGUCGAACGGCAGCACGGAGCUUGCUCUGGUGGCGAGUGGCGAACGGGUGAGUAAUAUAUCGGAACGUACCCUGGAGUGGGGGAUAACGUAGCGAAAGUUACGCUAAUACCGCAUAGGAUCUAAGGAUGAAAGUGGGGGAUCGCAAGACCUCAUGCUCGUGGAGCGGCCGAUAUCUGAUUAGCUAGUUGGUAGGGUAAAAGCCUACCAAGGCAUCGAUCAGUAGCUGGUCUGAGAGGACGACCAGCCACACUGGAACUGAGACACGGUCCAGACUCCUACGGGAGGCAGCAGCGGGGAAUUUUGGACAAUGGGCGAAAGCCUGAUCCAGCAAUGCCGCGUGAGUGAAGAAGGCCUUCGGGUUGUAAAGCUCUUUUGUCAGGGAAGAAACGGUGAGAGCUAAUAUCUCUUGCUAAUGACGGUACCUGAAGAAUAAGCACCGGCUAACUACGUGCCAGCAGCCGCGGUAAUACGUAGGGUGCAAGCGUUAAUCGGAAUUACUGGGCGUAAAGCGUGCGCAGGCGGUUUUGUAAGUCUGAUGUGAAAUCCCCGGGCUCAACCUGNGAAUUGCAUUGGAGACUGCAAGGCUAGAAUCUGGCAGA